rnacentral:rRNA from 1 species
CUCCGGUUGAUCCCGCCGGACCCGACUGCUAUCAGAGUGGGACUAAGCCAUGCGAGUCAACAUAGCAAUAUGUGGCAUACGGCUCAGUAACACGUAGUCAACAUGCCCAGGGGACGUGGAUAACCUCGGGAAACUGAGGAUAAACCGCGAUAGGUCAUCACUUCUGGAAUGGGUAAUGACUUAAAUCUAUAUGGCCCCUGGAUUGGACUGCGGCCGAUCAGGCUGUUGGUGAGGUAAUGGCCCACCAAACCUGUAACCGGUACGGGCUCUGAGAGGAGGAGCCCGGAGAUGGGCACUGAGACAAGGGCCCAGGCCCUAUGGGGCGCAGCAGGCGCGAAACCUCUGCAAUAGGCGAAAGCUUGACAGGGUUACUCUGAGUGAUUUCCGUUAAGGAGAUCUUUUGGCACCUCUAAAAAUGGUGCAGAAUAAGGGGUGGGCAAGUCUGGUGUCAGCCGCCGCGGUAAUACCAGCACCCCGAGUGGUCGGGACGUUUAUUGGGCCUAAAGCAUCCGUAGCCGGUUCUACAAGUCUUCCGUUAAAUCCACCUGCUUAACAGAUGGGCUGCGGAAGAUACUAUAGAGCUAGGAGGCGGGAGAGGCAAGCGGUACUCGAUGGGUAGGGGUAAAAUCCGUUGAUCCAUUGAAGACCACCAGUGGCGAAGGCGGCUUGCCAGAACGCGCUCGACGGUGAGGGAUGAAAGCUGGGGGAGCAAACCGGAUUAGAUACCCGGGUAGUCCCAGCUGUAAACGAUGCAGACUCGGUGAUGAGUUGGCUUAUUGCUAACUCAGUGCCGCAGGGAAGCCGUUAAGUUUGCCGCCUGGGGAGUACGGUCGCAAGACUGAAACUUAAAGGAAAUGGCGGGGGAGCA